CACGUAGGGGGCAAGCGUUGUCCGGAUUUAUUGGGCGUAAAGAGCUCGUAGGCGGUUGUGCAAGACAGAUGUGAAAUCCCCGGGCUCAACCUGGGAACUGCAUUUGUGACUGCAUCGCUGGAGUGCGGCAGAGGGGGAUGGAAUUCCGCGUGUAGCAGUGAAAUGCGUAGAUAUGCGGAGGAACACCGAUGGCGAAGGCAAUCCCCUGGGCCUGCACUGACGCUCAUGCACGAAAGCGUGGGGAGCAAACAGG
rnacentral:rRNA from 1 species